UACAGAGGUCCCAAGCGUUGUUCGGAUUCACUGGGCGUAAAGGGUGCGUAGGCGGUUGGGUAAGUCUGAUGUGAAAUCUCACAGCUUAACUGUGAAACUGCAUUGGAUACUAUUCGGCUUGAGAGUUGGAGGGGGGACUGGAAUUCUUGGUGUAGCAGUGAAAUGCGUAGAUAUCAAGAGGAACACCAGUGGCGAAGGCGAGUCCCUGGACAACUUCUGACGCUGAGGCACGAAAGCUAGGGGAGCAAACAGG
rnacentral:rRNA from 1 species